CGCGCGCGGAGGCCCUGCGGGGCCCGGGCUCCGGAGGAAGGGCGGGCUCGGCGGCGCCCCCCUGGCGACAGAGCGAGGAAGGGCGGCGGGGGCCGGCGCCGCGCAGAGGACGCCGCUGCGUCCCGGGGCUCACCGCGGGCGGGAGUUUGAGGACUGAAGCGGAGAAAUGCGGUCCCGGUUCGAGACGCUGUGCCACGCGGAACCUGAAUGUGCGUGUCUUCGCGGCUUCAGCUCCGAGGACGGCCGGGGGAACCACCGCGUCCCCUCCGGACCUUCCGCGCGAGCUUCUGCCGUCGCGCGCGGGCGCCCGCUGUGGAUUUUUCUGGCUGGCCUUGGCCACUCGGGGCUCCCAGCCGCGGGCAAAGCUGAGGUGCGACCUGGACGGAACAAGGGUCCCGGAGCCGUGAGCGCCGAGGGGGAAGGCCGGAGGAGAGCGGCCCCGGCCGGAGCGCGCGCUGUAGCCAGCUUUCCGCCGGGCGAGGCCGCUGCGGAAGGAACCUGCAAAUACGGCCGCGCCUUCGGUUCAGCGGGCUGCCUGGAACCCAGGACCGAGUGUAAAGGAAAUCGAAGGCUAAGCUCAUCACGUAUAUUUUUAGAACCUCCCUUCUUCCAGGAAUCUCUCCUCUCCACCUCCUCCACCAGUAGAUGUACGCCGGAAAACGCUUCACCUCCAGCCCAGCAGCGAGAAGAGAAGACCAGAAGUGUGGGGGUCCGGGAUAUCCGCUUUCGGGCCUCGCCCCCAGCGACCUCACUUCCGCCCAGCAGGCCCCUCCCCUCGAAGACUCCCCCACCUCCACUUGAGCCGCAGGCUGCGGACCGAGCCCCUAGCACGUCGGCCGGGUAGGGGGGAUAUUGAGGAGGCCACCCUGACGGCAGCCGCCCCAAACGCUGUCUUUCUGGCCUCAGGGUGACCUUGAGCGGUCCUGUUGCGGUACGCAGGCCGGGAGAGGCCCGAGGACGUGUGGCAGGGUACCAGGGUCCCCUCGCCCAGGCCUGGUGACGACUCCCACGUCCAGGUGGCGUGGCCACCACCUCCCAGAGCGGACCCUGGGAAGGUCCGCGGAAUGGGUCCGCGGACGCGGGAGCUGGGUUUGCACACCAAAGAUCGCAGGGAGGGGAGGGCAGGGGGAAGGGGCAGAAGCUUGGCAGCCAUUCUUUGUGCGAAGAGCGCGGGGUACGGGAAGGGGAUCCUUGCUUUGAUUUCAUUUUGUCUAAAAUAGUUUGUCAUUUUUAGAGACCCGGCUAAGGCGUAAACGGGCACGGUGUCAACGUAUUCCCUGUAGCUGGGCGCUCCCCUCCUACCCACGGUUGGAUGACCACGGGGCCCGCGAAACCCCCGCUCUGCGGGUGGACCCCAAGUGAGCAGGUGGGCGAGGGGAGUCGUCGCCUCCACGGGUCCCGCCCCUCCAGCCCGCGGACCGCGGCCCUCACCGCCCGGGCUCUGCACAUUCAAUGCCGCUGAGUUUCGGGUUCAGGAAGCGGUUUCAGGGGCGCCGGGCCUUCGCGGUCGUCCCAGCCGGCCCUGGACGCUCAGCGCCCCUAUCUUUGAGUCCACGUGGCCAAUCUCCCCCGCCGCUGGCCGCGUGGCCUAAUGGAUAAGGCGUCUGAUUCCGGAUCAGGAGAUUGAGGGUUCGAGUCCCUUCGUGGUCGACGUUUUUCCUUCCUGUGCUACUAGGCGGAAGGAGAUUAAACUGAACGACGGUUAAGUCCGGUGUGUGUGACGUUUGCCUUCUUACUGCUGCCCGGGGGAGGGGGCGUCACUAAGGAUCUGACUUCCGGGCCGCACGGGGGAAGUCAAGUCAUUGCAGGGGGCGGGGCACUACAAUUGGUUCCGAGUCCCUGCAAAAUAAUAAGGAGCUGAGAUGAGAAGGAAGAGAGCGGAGGGUGCCCCCCGUGCGCGGUGUGCCUGGCCCGCGGGAGGCCCCGUCUGCCCUCGGCACCGACGUGAGCAUGAUAACGACCUCUGACUUUGCCGCAGCACAGGUCGACAUCCGCUGACGGCGCACACGGUGCCUGCGUCACACCACCACGAGCCUUAUCAAUAUUCCCAUUUCACGGAGGCAGAAACCGAGACCUAAAAAGGUUUCUGAGUCACAUGGCAAGUCUGGUGUUGAUCACUCCACAGUCCUUUCACCUUCCUGUGAGGUUCACAACAGUUUUCCCAGUUCUGUGGUCAUCAGUGAUUCCAAACUUGCCAAUUUAACUGUGCUUCAUCACCAUAGUUAGAAAUAACACAAUGGAUCUGGAACACAGCCUAAAAAUCUGGCACAUUUUUCUGACAUUGUUGCUGUCCUUGGAACCAUAAGCCAGCAACCCCCUCCCCCGGAAUAGUCCCAGCAGCAUGGAAGGAGCAGGACCAGGAAUCCUGCAAAAUCAGCUGCAUUUACCAUCAUCCAACCAAGCAGCCCUCUCCC
rnacentral:tRNA from 1 species